GGUUUCGAUUAUGGCUCAGGAUGAACGCUGGCGGCGUGCUUAACACAUGCAAGUCGAACGAACCUUCGGGUUAGUGGCGGACGGGUGAGUAACGCGUGAGAAUCUGCCCUCAGGAGGGGGAUAACAGCUGGAAACGGCUGCUAAUACCCCAUGUGCCGCGAGGUGAAAUGAAUUUCGCCUGAGGAUGAGCUCGCGUCUGAUUAGCUAGUUGGUGUGGGUAAUGGCUCACCAAGGCAUCGAUCAGUAGCUGGUCUGAGAGGAUGAUCAGCCACACUGGGACUGAGACACGGCCCAGACUCCUACGGGAGGCAGCAGUGGGGAAUUUUCCGCAAUGGGCGAAAGCCUGACGGAGCAACGCCGCGUGAGGGAUGAAGGCCUCUGGGCUGUAAACCUCUUUUAUCAAGGAAGAAGAUCUGACGGUACUUGAUGAAUAAGCCACGGCUAAUUCCGUGC
rnacentral:rRNA from 1 species